UGGGGAAUUUUGCGCAAUGGGGGAAAGUCUGACGCAGCAACGCCGCGUGAGUGAUGAAGGCCUUCGGGUUGUAAAGCUCUGAUGAGGGAAGAAUGUACUUGUAUAUUUUCUAUUCCCGGACCCCGGUAAUCUGCCGCGCCUAG
rnacentral:rRNA from 1 species